rnacentral:rRNA from 1 species
UACGUAGGGAGCAAGCGUUGUCCGGAAUCAUUGGGCGUAAAGCGCGCGUAGGCGGCCUCAUAAGUCCGUUGUGAAAGUCAAAGGCUCAACCUUUGAAAGCCGAUGGAUACUGUGAGGCUAGAGUACGGAAGAGGCGAGUGGAAUUCCUGGUGUAGCGGUCGGAAUGCGCAGAUAUCGGGAGGAACACCAGUAGCGAAGGCGGCACUCUGGGCCGGUACUGACGCUGAGGAGCGAAAGCGUGGGGAGCAAACAGGG